rnacentral:rRNA from 1 species
GUUACCAAAUCCAAUUAAACUCCGAAUGCCAGGAUUUUAUAGCUUAGGAGUCAGACUGUGAAGGAUAAGCUCCAUAGUCAAAAGGGAAACAGCCCAGACCAUCGGCUAAGGUCCCAAAAUAUAUGCUAAGUGGGAAAGGAUGUAAAGUUACCCAGACAACCAGGAUGUUUGCUUAGAAGCAGCAAUCAUUUAAAGAGUGCGUAACAGCUCACUGGUCAAGUGAUUAUGCGCCGAAAAUUCAACGGGGCUCAAGCAUAUUACCGAAGCCAUGGAUUCUGAUUUAUCAGAAUGGUAGAGGAGCGUUCUGUAAAGGUUGAAGCUUAAUCGUAAGGUUAGGUGGACUUUACAGAAGUGAGAAUGCAGGUAUAAGUAACGAAAGACAGGCGAGAAACCUGUCCGCCGAAUACCAAAGGUUUCCUGGGGAAGGUUAAUCCUCCCAGGGUUAGUCGAGACCUAAGCCGAGGCCGAAAGGCGUAGGCGAUGGAUAACAGGUUAAUAUUCCUGUACGACCAAAUUAUGUUUGAUCAAUGGGGUGACGUAGAAAGGUAGACCAUCGUGGUUUGGUUGACUACGUGUAAGCGUGUAGGGUGCUAAUCAGGAAAAUCCGGUUAGCAUUAAGCCUGAGGCGUGAUACCGAUCCAAUUAUGGCGAAGUGGUUGACCCUAUGCUACCAAGAAAAACCUCUAGGUAGUAAUUUGGUUCUCGUACCAAAACCGACACAGGUAGGUAGGUAGAGAAUACUAAGGCGAUCGAGAUAACCCUUGUUAAGGAACUCGGCAAAAUAACCCCGUAACUUUGGGAUAAGGGGUACC